rnacentral:rRNA from 1 species
GUCCACGCCCUAAACGAUGCGAACUGGACGUUGGGAGCAAUCAGGCUCUCAGUGUCGAAGCUAACGCGUUAAGUUCGCCGCCUGGGGAGUACGGUCGCAAGACUGAAACUCAAAGGAAUUGACGGGGGCCCGCACAAGCGGUGGAGUAUGUGGUUUAAUUCGAUGCAACGCGAAGAACCUUACCUGGCCUUGACAUCCACGGAACCCUUGAGAGAUUCAGGGGGUGCCUUCGGGAACCGUGAGACAGGUGCUGCAUGGCUGUCGU